ensembl:lncRNA
GUUAAUAAUUAGUGAUAUGUCCUCAGAACCAUCAGGGUUCUCCUGUUGUAUUUGACCUGCACCUCUGAGAAGAAAGUCUAAACUUAAGACUUGGUGUUAAAGGUAAACGGCUCACCGUGAGAGACUCCCAGAAGCAUCACAAACAGUCCAACCACAGCCUCCAUGUUUCCAGGGUCCAAAAAAACGUGUCUGCUGUUCUGAGAACCAAACAUGCAAAUCCCACUGAACAGCCUGAAGAGAUUCCAGCUAAUGAACAGCCUCUGAGGAGAAUGUGUGAAGACUACGAACCGACCAGAGCGUUGUUGUGUUCAUCUAUUAAUAGAGAAGGAAGUGAUACAGGUUUCACUUCCCCUUUUAGCCUCCAACCACGUGACUUCUGUCGGGGAGGAACUGAGUGGAAAAGAGGGAAACAUUCCUCCUUCCUGCUGAAAGAGGAUUCGAAACUGCGGCUGGAAUUUGUCGUCUCUCCAUCUCAUCAUUUCCAACGAUACUAGAACAUGAUCCACUCUGUCAAUCAUCUCUUAAUACAUUAUUACAAGUUAGAUUUGACCAAACGUUGUCUGAACCUUUCAAACUGCAACUGUUUCAUAAACAAUUUACUUACAUUACUGUUUUUUGAACUUUUCAGACUAAAAUUGUAAAAAACGUUCUAAACUACAACAAAAUGUGUAUACAUUUAGAUCCCAAACCUAUUUUUGUAUGGGAUUUUAUAUGGACUCGUGCCUGGAAAUAAAGUUGAAUGAAGGCCUAAUUUUCACAAAGAUAACUUUCAGGUAGAAACUGUGGCUGUUCAGCUGUCAUAUAGUUGAAAAUCCUGUAAAAAUAAAAGGUUAUGAUCCAAUAAAACACAAAUAAAUUAAUAGCAUCAGAGGAGAGGACAUUAAUUUAAAUCUUUAUCAUGUUAACUUAUACUCAAAUAGCACAGUAAAAAUGAAGGAAAGGUCAUCACAAUAUUAUAUCAUUACAUAACGUCAGCCUCUGUGAACAAUGUUUCUUAAGCUUUAAAAUACAAAAUGUCUCUGAAGAAUCUGUCGACCUCUGCUGGCGAAUGUUCAUUAGAGACAAAUAACUUAAGACAUGAAAAGACUUAAAUGUUUACACACUUACGUUUUAGUGGAGCAGGCGGUUUGAGUGACAUCUCGCUGUUGCUAGUGUUUUUUUAGGUCAGUGUGUUAUGAGCAGUGUUGGGCAAGUUACUGAAAAUUAGUAAUUAGAUAAAGUUACUAGAUACUUUUAAAAAGGUAAUUUCAUUAUUUACCAGUUAGUGUAUAUCAAAAGUAAUUAGUUACUCGGGAAUGUAACUUUUAUUUUAAUUUUUUUGUCUGCUUUUUAAAUGUAAUGAAUAUGAAGACUACUGAACAGUCAAACAAAAUAAACAUAUUUUUUAGACCCAUUUGUUGUAAUCAACAGGGCAACGGGCCUUCAAAUCAAGUAGUAGUACGCUACAAAAGUCCCUUUUAAUACUUAAUACGAAAAAACUGUCUGUCAUUUGCCUGCAGGCAACUGACUCGACAGUUGAUGCACGUCAUCGACAACAUACCGAGCAAUCAACGUAUUCAGCUCUGUCCGGCUUGCUCUUGUUUGGAAAGGCCGAAAAACACAGGAACCAGGGGAAGAACAGCAGGCAUGAAACUACAGACAUCCACGACGAUAGACAAUGACGCGACAAGUGACACAAGAGACACACGGCUUAAAUACACAAGGGAGGUGCAGGUGAUUGGACACAGGUGGAAACUAUUAAGACUAUCACAGGGGAUGACGGGACAAGGCAGGAAGUGAAGUUACCCGGGGACACGAGUGGCAGAAAACUACAAAAUAUAACAGGAAGUGAACCACACCGUGAC